CAACGCAGGUUUGUAAUGAGUUUGAAAUCCAAAGUGUAGACCAAACCUUCAAAGAAAUCCUUAGAGAGAAUAUGUUUCUCGUCACAAUAACCUCAACUAUCAUAUCUCAAAUAAUCGUGAUCGAGUUUGCCAGCAUUUUCAUUUCUUCCGUCAGGCUAGACUUGAAAAAAUGGGUGACGACAAGACUUUUGGGAUUGCUCAGCCAAGUCGCCACUCGCUUCCCUUACCCAACCAACCAAUAUUACCCGUAACUGAGAUUUGUCUUGCCAUAUAGGCACAAGUACCGUCAACUUUUGAAGCAUCCCUCUAGCUUUGGACG